GCAGCAGAGUGGGAACCCUUUGACAAAGUGCCCAGAUGUUUUCUGUCAAGGCUGGAACUGAAGGAGUCAGAUGGGUGUCCAGCACGUGGACACGCAAGCUUUCUCAUAUCUAUCUUCAUAGUUCUGGGAAGAAAAGAGAUACAGAGACAACAUGCUGGGUCGAUGUGUGCUCAGAUGGGCACCAGUCUAGGAGGAAAUACACUUUAUCUGGGGUUAUAGCAAUACUCUAAUGCUGGAAGACACCCUUGUGGGUGGUCAUGUGCGACAGCUAUGUGAACAGCAUGCUGCUUACCUCUUCUCCAUCCUGACUGUUUCUGAGUAUGGUUCCUUCAGAAUGAGAACUCAGAAUUCGUCCACCGGGAAAUGGCCCCAAGGACUUUCAUCUCACUAUCAAACUUUGUGUUUCGGAAACCACUUUCAGAACAAAGAGCUACCACUCUCAAGAGAACUCGCCUUUCUGAAGGAUGGUUGGCUCCGUAUCAACUUCUGAAGUUUUGAUGAAUUGAAACGUCAAUUUUAAAGACAACCUGAAACAUGGGCUCCAACAGUGAAACAUGAAUCUGUGCAGUUUUCAUCUGAGAACAACUCUCCAUUGUAACUGUUAAGACCUCUGUGCAUGUCUGGACCUUUCAAUCCAGAGAUUAAAGAUGAUUUAAUGAUA